GGGCGGGGCCGCGCCGUCCACACCGGCCGCAGCCGGUUUUCGAGGCGGGCGCCGAGCGGAUCCGCGGCGGAGGUUGAGGGACCCCCCUCCCCCGGCCACCGCCUCCGCUGAGUCUGCCCCCUCCCCAUCCGCAGGGCUCUUCCGUGGGCGGCGGCUUCGCGGGCUUGGAGUUCGCGCGGCCGCAGGAGUCGGAGCCGCGGGCCUCGGACCUGGGGGCCCCCCGGACGUGGACGGGGGCGGCGGCGGGGCCCCGGACUCCGUCGGCGCACAUCCCCGUCCCAGCGCAGAGAGCCACCCCAGGAAAAGCCCGGCUGGACGAGGUCAUGGCUGCCGCUGCCCUUACAAGCCUGUCCACCAGCCCUCUCCUUCUGGGGGCCCCAGUUGCAGCCUUCAGCCCAGAGCCUGGCCUGGAGCCCUGGAAGGAGGCCCUGGUGCGGCCACCAGGCAGCUACAGCAGCAGCAGCAACAGUGGAGACUGGGGCUGGGACCUGGCCAGUGACCAGUCCUCUCCGUCCACCCCGUCACCCCCACUGCCCCCCGAGGCAGCCCACUUUCUGUUCGGGGAGCCCACCCUGAGAAAAAGGAAGGUGAGCUUGGGGGCGGCCCCCAGGGAGGGGUGGGUGUGGUGGCUGAGCCUGACCCUGGCCCCUGUUGCUGCAGAGCCCGGCCCAGGUCAUGUUCCAGUGUCUGUGGAAGA
rnacentral:sRNA from 1 species